UGGGUUGUAGCUCAGUGGUAGAGCCCUUGCCUAGCAUGUGUAAGGCACUGGGUUUGAUCCCCAGCACCACAU
rnacentral:tRNA from 1 species